rnacentral:rRNA from 1 species
AUGAUAUAUCCACCUAGCGGUGAUACUGAUAUAUAUGAUCAACCUUUUUUCGAUCUAAUGUGUUUGCUUCCGUUGUGCCUAAUCAGUUACCUGUUGACAUUCUUGAUAAAUACACAGUUGAAGAAAGAUAUGACUUCAGUUUUGUGUGACAAAUUCAGCUGUUUGUCUUUAAAAAAGACAACCCGUCAGAUGUACAAGAUAAACAUGAUGUUUUUCCUACCGUACCUGUUUUCCCUCGGCAAACAUGAUGUUUUUGUAGCUGAGUUCCUUUUUACAAACUGUGAAUUAUGCUGCCCAUUUUGGUUAUAUCCUUGUUGCUGCUUAUGCACUGGGUUUGCUUCGUAG